AGAUAUAUUAAGUAAAUGAAAAUGGUAAGAAAUCUUGUUGUCCAAAGAUAUUGUGACACCUAACAUGGCUGACACACUCUAAAGAAAAGGUAAUUAGGGUUUUGGACACAUUUUCUUCGGUGAACAUAUAUAUAUAUAUAUAACAAAACAUAUCAGGUUCUAUAGUCAUCCUGGAAAGACACGAACGUAGCCGCCUAAACUUCUCUGACUCAUUGUUGAAGAUCGAUGAAGCAGAUCCGAAGGCGAGAAUGGUGAUAAUGAAGAUCUCAUUUUACUAGCACAUGUACGAGAAGAAGGAAUCAAUACAGGCAAGACACUAUUAAUUUUGAUCAAAUAUCUGAUAAACCUGUCUCAAAACAUUUAACUUUUAUUUAUUUGUCAGAUCUAGACCAAGCAAGCAAACAAAAGCUAAAAGAAUUUCCAAUGGCUCAAAUUGUCGAUAUGGUUAGCGAAACUAAUGCCGCUUGGAGAUCUGCUUGAACGUGAGGGCCUUUUGACACAAAGAUGUGAUGAGACUUGAGAGCAAUUCAUUUGAAGUCCUUUGAUUACAUGGUGUUGAAUCUUCUACUAUACAAGAUUUGUGAUCAAAGUGGACAAACACUACGAGCUUUGCCGGGAAAACAUGAAAGACUAUUAUUGUUUUGUUUUGUUUUCCUUUUUGAUAUGACACUUAUAAUUGAUUAGAUAAAAAUUCAUGUCUUUCAAAUGUUAAAUUCAUUAGUGAUUCACAUAUGGGAGAACAAUCUCAACGUAACUUUAUGAAUCAAUAUAUAAAAACUCAAUACAAAUUUAUGCCUAAACAGCAUAUUUAUACCAAAUCCAAAAACCCUAAAAAUAUCCUAAAACAAUGAAUGGAACUAUUAUUCCAUGAGAAAGGAAUGUGGUUUCGGUCUUUGCUACUGAAACUUCAACUAAACCAGCGACUCACUGCUGAACAAGGCCAUUAAUGAGACUCAUGUUCCAUGUGUCGUCAUUAUGGUGACACAUGAGUAAUUAAGCAUCAGUCAAGAUAUUUUAGUCAUUCCCGUAUAUGAAGAUGGUCCAUUGGUUGUGCAUAUAUGCUUAGAUAGAAAUUUUC